UACGGGGGGGGCAAGCGUUGUUCGGAAUUACUGGGCGUAAAGGGCGCGUAGGCGGCUCGCUAAGUUGGAUGUGAAAACUCUGGGCUUAACCCAGAGCCUGCAUCCAAAACUGGCAAGCUGGAGUACUGGAGAGGGAAGCGGAAUUCCGGGUGUAGCGGUGAAAUGCGUAGAUAUCCGGAGGAACACCGGUGGCGAAGGCGGCUUCCUGGACCGACACUGACGCUGAGGCGCGAAAGCGUGGGGAGCAAACAGG
rnacentral:rRNA from 1 species